rnacentral:snRNA from 1 species
GGUAUAAAAGUGAUUUGGCUAUGAUAGCUGUCAUCCCAUUGGGCAGGUGAUGUAGCUAAUCUGACAGGCUAGGCAUAUGUUCCCUUCUUCCAUGUUCCCAGACCACGUGUGUCUUUCCUCAUGGGCUGCACAUGUGCUUGCAGAGAACAACCUUUCUCAAUAGAAGAUCGAUCUUGGGUCAAGGAUCUAUGAGAGGCUCAAUCCCUUGCUAGAACCUCCAAAUAAAUUUUGGAAGUGCAUUUGUAGGAGAACGUAGGGUAGUCAAGUUUUCAGGAUUCUAGAUACAUCUAAAUCAUUGGCUACAUGCAGCAGUCUGUCUGU